UGUGUAGGCGGCUCUCUAAGUUUGGUGUGAAAUCUCCCGGCUCAACCGGGAGGGUGCGCCGAAAACUGGAAGGCUAGAGUGCGGGAUGGGAGAGUAGAAUUCCUGGUGUAGCGGUGAAAUGCGUAGAUAUCAGGAGGAAUACCGGUGGUGCAGACGGCUCUCUGGACCGUAACUGACGCUGAAACACGAAAGCGUGGGUAGCAAACAGGAUUAGAUACCCUGGUAGUCCACGCCCUAAACGAUGCAUAUUUGGUGUAGGUCAUUCAGUUGAUCUGUGCCGGAGCUAACGCGUUAAAUAUGCCGCCUGGGGAUACAGUCGCAAGGCUGAA
rnacentral:rRNA from 1 species